rnacentral:lncRNA from 1 species
GCUGGGAUAGCGGGGGUGGUGUCAAGGAAUGAUUCCAGGACAUACUGCUCUCUCUCAAAUGGUCUAUUGAUUCUUUUAUGUUCACACAGGGUUUGGUACAUUGCUUUGGCUUCCCUCAGGUGUUGCUGCUAUUUCUCUGCUUUCCCUGAGCGAGAGAGACAAAAGAAAGAAAUCCACUUCCCUCUAAUGGCAACUUUCGAAAUCAACAGGACAUGGAGCAUUCUACUCUCAUCCUAAACCUUUUACCAAGUAAUUACGGGGCAUUUCUUGGAACAUUUUCAAUACAAAAUAUACCUGGAGAACAAACAUUGUUCUGAGUGGACAGUGGUAACGAGAAAACGAUACAAAUGAGUUAGUGUUACAGAAGGCGGAAGAUCUGGGCACAAUCUCUUUCUAAUGCUGUGAUGGUCAUUCAGGACAGCAUUGUGUGGGGAAGGACAACAGGAAGUGCACGUGGUUAACUAUUAGUCACACCAGGAAAAGGAAUAUUUUACGCCAGCACUUUGUUGCAGUAAUAUCACCAUGAGGAAGACGGGUUUGAUUCCGACGCCAGAGCUCCCUCUCUUACUAGAGACAAUGAAGAUAAACGAAGAAGGCUGUGUCUCCUCCAAGAUCCUCAAUCAGCCCAAGAUGGAAGCUUUGAUGGCCCUGGAAUCAGUGGUAGCAUCCUCACCCAUGGCCCAAUAUACAGUUUGAGACUCUCAUGUUAGUAAAAGCACUAAACAGACAGCUCAGGAUUCCUCGCAAUGAAUAGCAAUAGCUGCCUGCUGAAUAGAUACUAGGAAGAUCUUAUAGGUAGCAUCUGGUCCUCUCUCAGAAAGACAAGGGCUGUUCUGACUGGUAGAUGGGUGCUGUGUCCAGGUUAAUGGACCUCAAGAGCGUCUGCUCCUGGUACUGUCUCUAUUGCGCCUGUUAGGUAGAGAUGGUCAACAUUUUCUGUAUUUUGAAAAUGUUGAUCAAAAUAAUUAAAAUUUUUACAAAAGCAGAUUAUUUUCAUGAAAAUUUUCACAAAAAGUAGUUCAAUGUUUUGACCAUUGCUGGUCCACAGCCAUGGUCUUGCUGUAAUCCAUGUUGUUCUGCUGCCUGGUCCUUCCUGAAUUGCACAAAGGCCUGCUGCUGCUGCUGGACCUGUUGUUGAUGUUUCUGCUGCUCCAUUAGCCACUUAAAGAUUGUUUCCAUUUUCCUCUUUUAUUUGCAAAGGGGUCUUAAAAAACAACAACAACAACAACUAACCAACCAACCAAAAAAACUCCUGCCACCACAUGUGAGCACAUGAAAUUCCCAGCCUGUUCUUGAACACAGUCCACACUGUAUAGAAUCCCAGCUUGCUCCCUUCUUAGGCAUUAGUUUUAUUAACAUAAACAUAAAAUUAAACUCAGACCUUCUCCCCACACUUGGCUUCUCACAGGUUUCCAACUUCAGGACUGCUCAGCCCACACUCUAGAUCCUCUCUCACUAAGAAGCCAUGCCCACCUGCCAUAUAUGAGUGUGGUAACAAGCCAUUUGCCUCAAUAGGAAAUUUCCUACUGUUUAAUUCCACUAGUGUUAACAUUAGGAGCCCUAUGUAGAAAAGUUGCUGAGCACGCUAUUCUUUAAACUUGGACUGUGAUGUUUAGAUCUGCUCUGAGCCAGAUCUGUCCUUCAUUCUUAACCAUAAACAUCUAUUCCAGACAGAGAUUUGUAUUUGAAACUUCCC